rnacentral:rRNA from 1 species
UACGUAGGGUGCGAGCGUUAAUCGGAAUUACUGGGCGUAAAGCGUGCGCAGGCGGUUUUGUAAGCCAGGUGUGAAAUCCCCGGGCUCAACCUGGGGAUGGCAUUUGGGACUGCAAGGCUGGAGUGCGGCAGAGGAGACUGGAAUUCCUGGUGUAGCAGUGAAAUGCGUAGAUAUCAGGAGGAAUACCGAUGGCGAAGGCAGGUCUCUGGGCUGACACUGACGCUCAUGCACGAAAAGCGUGGGGGAGCAAACAGG